CCUACGGGAGGCAGCAGUCGAGAAUCAUUCACAAUGGGGGAAACCCUGAUGGUGCGACGCCGCGUGGGGGAAUGAAGGUCUUCGGAUUGUAAACCCCUGUCAUGUGGGAGCAAAUUAAAAAGAUCGUACCACACGAGGAAGAGACGGCUAACUCUGUGCCAGCAGCCGCGGUAAUACAGAGGUCUCAAGCGUUGUUCGGAAUCACUGGGCGUAAAGCGUGCGUAGGCUGUUUCGUAAGUCGUGUGUGAAAGGCGCGGGCUCAACCCGCGGACGGCACAUGAUACUGCGAGACUAGAGUAAUGGAGGGGGAACCGGAAUUCUCGGUGUAGCAGUGAAAUGCGUAGAUAGCGAGAGGAACACUCGUGGCGAAGGCGGGUUCCUGGACAUUAACUGACGCUGAGGCACGAAGGCCAGGGGAGCGAAAGGGAUUAGAUACCCUAGUAGUC
rnacentral:rRNA from 1 species